rnacentral:rRNA from 1 species
AACGAACGCUGGCGGCAUGCCUAACACAUGCAAGUCGAACGAGACCUUCGGGUCUAGUGGCGCACGGGUGCGUAACGCGUGGGAACUUGCCCUUAGGUUCGGAAUAACUCCCCGAAAGGGGUGCUAAUACCGGAUAAUGUCUUCGGACCAAAGAUUUAUCGCCUUUGGAUGGGCCCGCGUUGGAUUAGCUAGUUGGUAGGGUAAAAGCCUACCAAGGCGACGAUCCAUAGCUGGUCUGAGAGGAUGAUCAGCCACACUGGGACUGAGACACGGCCCAGAAUCGUACGGGAGGCAGCAGUGGGGAAUAUAGGACAAUGGGCGAAAGCCUGAUACAGCAAUGCCGCGUGAGUGAUGAAGGCCUUAGGGUUGUAAAGCUCUUUUAGCCGGGAUGAUAAUGACAGUACCGGGAGAAUAAGCUCCGGCUAACUCCGUG